CCUAGAAAGGCUGUUUAUUAUUCUCUCCAUGUAUGUUUUAGUAAGUGGUGAUGCUCUUGAUUAAAGAAUCCAUUGUUAACCUAAUUUUGUAACAGAGGAAGAGGUAAAAAGAUAGUUGUUACCUUCUACAGAAUCUAUCAACUUAAGACAAAAAUUAAUAGCAAUAUAGGAAAUUUGCAAACAGUAAAAUUUUUGGUUUUCAUUUCAUGGAUGGUGCUGCUGUUCCAACCUUAUAAAGUAAAGCUGUCCACUUUCCAAAUCCCAGAAAUUAACAACCUCCAACCUUACCAUACUAACCAGUGCCCUUUGGUUUCUUUAGAACAAGGGAGAGUUAAAGGGUUGAUUAUGGAUGUACAAUUUUGAUUUUGGGACCUUUCACACAUACAUAUCAUACUGAGCGGCCACUUACUUUACAGAGCAGUUUAAAUGUUAACACAUUAGCCAAAUUAACUUGUUCCAUCCACCCUAUUGGAGGAGGAAAAAUCCAACACCCAUAAAACUACUUCACUUGACAAUAUGUGUCUAUCAACAAUAAGUAGCUUCAACAACUUUUACCAGUAAGGUGUCUAGACUGAUUUUUAAAAUGGCCAAGUGACAUUU
rnacentral:lncRNA from 1 species